rnacentral:rRNA from 1 species
ACAGCAGCCGCCACGGUAAUACGUAGGUGGCAAGCGUUGUCCGGAAUUAUUGGGCGUAAAGCGCGCGCAGGCGGCCUAUCCAGUCUGUCUUAAAAGUUCGGGGCUCAACCCCGUGAUGGGAUGGAAACUAGUAGGCUAGAGUAUCGGAGAGGAAAGCGGAAUUCCUAGUGUAGCGGUGAAAUGCGUAGAUAUUAGGAAGAACACCAGUGGCGAAGGCGGCUUUCUGGACGAAAACUGACGCUGAGGCGCGAAAGCCAGGGGAGCGAACGGGAUUAGAUACCCGCGUAGUCCCUGUCUCUUAUACA